GGGAACUGCGUUNUGAACUGGGUGACUAGAGUGUGUCAGAGGGAGGUAGAAUUNCACGUGUAGCAGUGAAAUGCGUAGAGAUGUGGAGGAAUAUCGAUGGCGAAGGCAGCCUCCUGGGAUAACACUGACGUUCAUGCCCGAAAGCGUGGGUAGCAAACAGGAUUAGAUACCCUGGUAGUCCACGCCCUAAACGAUGUCGAUUAGCUGUUGGGCAGCAUGACUGCUUAGUAGCGAAGCUAACGCGUGAAAUCGACCGCCUGGGGAGUACGGUCGCAAGAUUAAAACUCAAAGGAAUUGACGGGGACCCGCACAAGCGGUGGAUGAUGUGGAUUAAUUCGAUGCAACGCGAAGAACCUUACCUGGUCUUGACAUGUACGGAACCCUCCAGAGACGGAGGGGUGCCUUCGGGAGCCGUAACACAGGUGCUGCAUGGCUGUCGUCAGCUCGUGUCGUGAGAUGUUGGGUUAAGUCCCGCAACGAGCGCAACCCUUGUCAUUAGUUGCCAUCAUUAAGUUGGGCACUCUAAUGAGACUGCCGGUGACAAGCCGGAGGAAGGUGGGGAUGACGUCAAGUCCUCAUGGCCCUUAUGACCAGGGCUUCACACGUCAUACAAUGGUCGGUACAGAGGGUAGCCAAGCCGCGAGGUGGAGCCAAUCUCACAAAACCGAUCGUAGUCCGGAUUGCACUCUGCAACUCGAGUGCAUGGAGUCGGAAUCGCUAGUAAUCGCAGGUCAGCAUACUGCGGUGAAUACGUUCCCGGGUCUUGUACACACC
rnacentral:rRNA from 1 species